rnacentral:rRNA from 1 species
UGGGGAAUAUUGCACAAUGGGGGAAACCCUGAUGCAGCGACGCCGCGUGAGCUGAGAAGGUUUUCGAAUCGUAAAGCUCUGUCCUAUGAGAAGAUAAUGACGGUAUCAUAGGAGGAAGCCCCGGCUAAAUACGUGCCAGCAGCCGCGGUAAUACGUAUGGGGCGAGCGUUGUCCGGAAUUAUUGGGCGUAAAGGGUACGUAGGCGGUCUAUUAAGUCAGGUGUGAAAGCGUGAGGCUUAACCUCAUUAAGCACUUGAAACUGAUAGACUUGAGUGAAGGAGAGGAAAGUGGAAUUCCUAGUGUAGCGGUGAAAUGCGUAGAUAUUAGGAGGAAUACCGGUGGCGAAGGCGACUUUCUGGCCAUAAACUGACGCUGAGGUACGAAAGCGUGGGUAGCAAACAGG